UAAAAUAAGAAAAUCGAUGCGUCUCGUUUUUUAGUGACGUAUAUCGGAAUUGGGUCGUCUUUAAAAGGUUCAACAAUCCUUUUUAAGAGGCCUAAAAUUGACAUCAUUCGGGUACGAUUCGAGCGUGGUUAAUAACGUUCGUUCGAUCGGUGCCGAAAUAUUAGGUGCGACCAUCUCACCGUGGUAUCGCGCCCAUAACGAUAUGAAA
rnacentral:misc_RNA from 1 species